AAGUCGUAACAAGGUCUCCGUUGGUGAACCAGCGGAGGGAUCAUUACAGAGUUGCAAAACUCCCAAACCAUCGUGAACAUACCCAAAUAUCGUUGCUUCGGCGGGCGGUGGCCCCCGGGGGUAUCAACCCCGGGCGUCUGCCCCCAGGCCUCCCCCCCCUUCGACGGGGCGGGGGGGGUGCCCGCCAGAGGUCCUACAACCAUCGUAUCUUAUGUGGCCUCUCUGAGUUAUAGUGAAUGAAGUCAAAACUUUCAACAACGGAUCUCUUGGUUCUG
rnacentral:misc_RNA from 1 species